CAGCCAAGAGUGUGUUCACAAAAGGUCGAAAUGGCAACUUUUUCCAAAAUCUUAGAAUUUGAUCAUUGUUGACUCUGACGUCUUAGACCAGCUAGACCUGCAGUCACUCAGUAGAGUGUCUCAUUCAAUGAAACAUGAUAUUAUUGUCAGGAGUUAUUCCAGCCCAUCUCUAUCAGUUUCCUAGAGCUGCUAUAGCACAGCACCACACAUUGGAUGACUUAAAACAAAAGAACUUUAUUGUCUCAUAGUUCUGGAGGCUAGAAGUUUUAAACCAUGGUGUUGGUAGAACUACGCUAUGAAACCUGUGAGGAAAUGCUUUCUUGCUUUUCCUAGCUUUUGCUAUUGCCAGCAAUCCUUGGUGGUUUGGCUUGCAGCUGCCUAAAUCCAGUCUCUGCUUUCAUCAUCACACGGCAUCCUUUCCAUGUGUCUCUGUCUUCAAGUGGCCAUUUUCUUAUAAGGAUGCUAGUCCUAUUAAAUUAGGAGCCCAUGUUCCUCCAGUCUACCAUUUUAACUUUCUUUAUUAUAUUGUCAGUGACCCUAUAAAUAAGGUCAUAUUUUGAGAGAUCCUGGAGGUUAGAACUUCAACAUAUCUUUUUUUGGGGGGACAUAAUUCAGCCCAUAACACCAUCCCCUUAUUUUUUUUUUAACAACUCCUGUUUAGAGUCUAUAUUCACCUCAUUACUCAUUCCUGACUCCUGAUUUUCUCUUGUAUGUAUCACCCAGUUCUUACACUUGGGAUUAGAAGUUGGCAUGUUGUUUAUACAGAGUUGAGACAAACAAAAGCCUCAAGGAGCUGUCUGGACAUUUUUAUCUAGGCCUUUGUGUUACUAUGAGCUGCCUGGCAUUUACAGCUAUGUCUUGGUGUUCUCUGGUUAAACAACUUCACAGAACAGCAACAUCAGACAAAGUUACUGUGAACAUGAUCAAUCAAGACAAAAAUAGGGCCACUCUAUAAUCAUGCCUGAACACAAAGCAAAAUACAAACACUAUCCAAACCACACAAAUGACCAAAUAUCUCUCUAUCUUGACAAUAGAAGUGACUGCUGCUUUUUUUCUUCUUUUAACCGAUUACUGCUUUGUCUUGGUCUAGGCAUCCCUCCUUCUAGGUAAGAUUAAUUAAGGUAAAUAACUAAAAUUACCCUAACUUUCUAAGAGGAUGUAAUCCAGAGCAAAGCCUCACAUCUUUAAAUCCUCCCUGUCACGUAACACAACCCCAAAUCUUAUAGUAAAUUCUUUCUAACACCCUCUUCCCGAGACACUCCAUGUUUCCAUGGUGUACAUUCUCACUGCAACAAGUAAUAAACCCAACUUGUUCAACUAUGAGUGUGUUCCUGAGGAUAUUUGACUGGAGGGCAUUCACGGCAUUUUAAUAAUACAAAUUAGCUAAAAUGUGAUAACUGAAUUGGAGACAUGUUUUACAUGUGGAAUAUAUCAACCUAACAAAUGAUUGCUGUUCAGAUUAUACUGCAAAUAGAAAAAUGCAGGUAUAAAAAAGGUUGUAUUUGCAAUAUUAUUAAUUGCUAUACAUAUCUAGCGUUCAAUUCCAGUCAUGUUUCUUUUAUUUUAUAAAUGAAAUCAAACUCAAGCUUUGAUACCACAGUAUGGUGUCAGAUCUAGUCUCUCUCUUUUUUUUCAUGUCACCUUCCUUUGAAUGGUCAAAAAACCUAGUAAAUGUAUUGAAUCCAUGAGGAAUGAGAUCUAUCCAACUUCCCCAUCCAAUUGUGGGAUGGGAGAGGGAAGGCCUAAAAUAUAAUCUGGCCAAUGCCACUACUUCUGGCUGCCCUGAAGCAUCACGGUUGGAAAUUCAUCCUAUCCUGUGAGGUCGCAGCUGUUAGUGCUUGAGUCCUUCAGACCCAGCAACAGCCAUUCCACUGCAGUGUUAGCCACAUCAGGACUGCAGUAUUAGAGCUGGAAGGCCUUCACCAGAUGCCGGCACCUUGAUCUUUGAUUUCUCAUCCUCCAGAACUGUGAGAAAUACAUUUCUCUUCUUCAUAAAUCAUCCAGUCUCAGAUAUUGUGUUAUAGUAGCACAAAAUGGACUAAGACAAACUUUAAUGUUAAGCAUCCAACAAUGCACUCUGGCAAAUUGUGGGUUACUUCUACCAAAAAGUGUGAAAUCCUGGCCUGUUCCUCACUGCAGCCUGAACUUAGCUUAUAAGCAGAUAUUUGCAAUCUAUUUAAACUUGCCUCAGCCCCAGGCCUUAGGGGUUCAACCUUUCCCCAGAGCAAAUGUUUUUUUUUUAUGAAAUAACAAGAACUCAGUGUUAUAAUCAACAGAUGGUAAUAGCUGAGCAAGUUCUAAUCUCAUAACACUGAAGAAAUUGUUCCCAGUCUCAUUCUGUCAUUCCCAUUUCAUCAUUUUCUUCUGAUUUGUUGAGUUAUUGCUUAAUCUCAAUAAUUUACUUAUUUUUCAGAAGGAUUUGUUAACAAUACCUUCUCCCCCCUCGGAGCACUCAAUUUAUAU
rnacentral:lncRNA from 1 species